GAUGAAGAACGCAGCGAAAUGCGAUAAGUAGUGUGAAUUGCAGAAUUCAGUGAAUCAUCGAAUCUUUGAACGCACAUUGCGCCCCAUGGUAUUCCGUGGGGCAUGCCUGUUCGAGCGUCAUUUACCCCCUCAAGCUCCGCUUGGUGUUGGGCGUCUGUCCCGCUUCGCGCGCGGACUCGCCCCAAAGGUAUGGGCAGCGGUCGUGCCAGCUUCUCGCGCAGCACAUUGCGCUUCUCGAGGCACCGGUGGGCCCGCGUCCAUCAAGCUCACCCCCCCAGUUUGACCUCGGAUCAGGUAGGGAUACCCGCUGAACUUAAGCAUAUCAAUAAGCGGAGGA
rnacentral:misc_RNA from 1 species